UACGUAGGGUGCAAGCGUUGUCCGGAAUUAUUGGGCGUCAAGAGCUCGUAGGCGGUCUGUCGCGUCGGAUGUGAAAACCCAGGGCUCAACCCUGGGCCUGCAUUCGAUACGGGCAGACUAGAGUUCGGUAGGGGGAGACUGGAAUUCCUGGUGUAGCGAUGAAAUGCGCAGAUAUCAGGAGGAACACCGGUGGCGAAGGCGGGUCUCUGGGCCGAAACUGACGCUGAGGAGCGAAAGCGUGGGGAGCAAACAGG
rnacentral:rRNA from 1 species